rnacentral:rRNA from 1 species
GAUGAACGCUGGCGGCGUGCCUAAUACAUGCAAGUCGAGCGAACGGACGAGAAGCUUGCUUUUCUGAUGUUAGCGGCGGACGGGUGAGUAACACGUGGAUAACCUACCUAUAAGACUGGGAUAACUUCGGGAAACCGGAGCUAAUACCGGAUCAUAUUUUGAACCGCAUGGUUCAAAAGUGAAAGACGGUCUUGCUGUCACUUAUAGAUGGAUCCGCGCUGCAUUAGCUAGUUGGUAAGGUAACGGCUUACCAAGGCAACGAUGCAUAGCCGACCUGAGAGGGUGAUCGGCCACACUGGAACUGAGACACGGUCCAGACUCCUACGGGAGGCAGCAGUGGGGAAUCUUCGGCAAUGGGCGAAAGCCUGACGGAGCAACGCCGCGUGAGUGAUGAAGGUCUUCGGAUCGUAAAACUCUGUUAUUAGGGAAGAACAUAUGUGUAAGUAACUGUGCACAUCUUGACGGUACCUAAUCAGAAAGCCACGGCUAACUACGUG